CCUACGGGAGGCAGCAGUGGGGAAUAUUGCUCAAUGGGCGAAAGCCUGACGCAGCGACGCCGCGUGAGGGAUGAAGGUCCUCUGAUCUUAAACCUCUUUCAGCACGGAAGAACGGUCACUCUGCUAAGCAGCAUUGAAUUGACGUUACCUGCAAAGGAAGCAUCGGCUAACUCCGUGCCAGCAGCCGCGGUAAUACGGAGGAUGCGAGCGUUAUCAGGAUUUAUUGGGUUUAAAGGCUGCGUAGGCGGAACGUUAAGUCAGUGGUAAAAUUGAGGGGCUCAACCCCUUCCCGCCAUUGAAACUGGCGCUCUUGAGUGGAAGAGAAGUAUGCGGAAUGCGUGGUGUAGCGGUGAAAUGCAUAGAUAUCACGCAGAACCCCGAUUGCGAAGGCAGCAUGCCGGCGUUCGACUGACGCUGAAGCACGAAAGCGUGGGGAUCGAACAGGAUUAGAUACCCUGGUAGUC
rnacentral:rRNA from 1 species